CUGUAAUCACUGACACAGUCAUAUGUGGAGGUGUGGAAGCCUUCCCACCCACAGCUCCCACUACUACUACUACCACUACUACUUGUACUACUACUACUGUUGCCACCAAACUACCAUUGAAUCCUCCACCUCAACCUGAAAGCCCCAGAAAUCACAGGGCAUAAAUGGGAAUCCAGAUCACCAUACCCACCAAUGAACUCCCUUCAACUUACCUCCUUCUCCAACCACCUUUCGGGGUCGAGGUCCUGAAGACUGCAGUGUUUGUGUGUGGUCGAAACCCAGUGAAGAGGAACUGCGACUCUCUCUCUUAUGGUUUUUUUUUUUCCAUCUUCAUUUUCCAAUAUUUCUUCUUUUUUUCCCUCCCUCCCUUUGUCUUGAACUCCUCUGACUGGCCCCCCUUUCCACUUUUCUUCCUUUCCAUUUCUUCUCUCAUUUUCUGCAACCUCUGAAUCCUGUUCCUGCUCUGCAAACCCCCAAGACACUCACACCAACACAACUGUUUCCUGGAAGGAAAAAAAUGAACACACAAAGCAAUAUUUGGCCUCUUUGGUUGCCGACAUGUCUCCUGCUGUGUCCAAGUAAGAAAGAAUCUCCAGCAAGAAGCAUAUCACGGCCGUCACAUGGAAACCGAUGG